rnacentral:rRNA from 1 species
GAACGGGACUAUUUUGGGAGAAGUUUUCGGAUGGAUCUCGGGAUAGUUUAGUGGCGGACGGGUGAGUAACACGUGAGCAACCUGCCUUCGAGAGGGGAAUAACGGCUGGAAACGGUCGCUAAUACCGCAUAACAUACUGGAGGGACAUCCCUUUGGUAUCAAAGAUUUUAUCGCUCGGAGAUGGGCUCGCGUCCGAUUAGGUAGUUGGUGAGGUAACGGCUCACCAAGCCGACGAUCGGUAGCCGGACUGAGAGGUCGAACGGCCACAUUGGGACUGAGACACGGCCCAGACUCCUACGGGAGGCAGCAGUGGGGGAUAUUGCACAAUGGGGGAAACCCUGAUGCAGCGACGCCGCGUGUGGGAAGACGGUCCUCUGGAUUGUAAACCACUGUCCCCAGGGACGAAGAUGACGGUACCUGGGGAGGAAGCUCCGGCUAACUACGUGCCAGCAGCCGCGGUAAUACGUAGGGAGCGAGCGUUGUCCGGAAUUACUGGGUG